GACGAACCGUGCGAACGUUAUUCGGAAUCACUGGGCUUAAAGCGCGUGUAGGCGGGUGAUCGCGUCGGUCGCUGAAAGCCCCCCGGCUCAACCGGGGAAGCGGCGCCGAAACGGGUCGCCUGGAGGGGAGUAGGGGGACCUGGAACUUCCGGUGGAGCGGUGAAAUGCGUUGAGAUCGGAAGGAACGCCCGUGGCGAAAGCGAGGUCCUGGGCUCUCACUGACGCUGAGACGCGAAAAGCCAGGGGAGCGAACGGG
rnacentral:rRNA from 1 species